rnacentral:rRNA from 1 species
GAAUCUUCCGCAAUGGGCGCAAGCCUGACGGAGCGACGCCGCGUGUGGGAUGAAGCGCCUUCGGCGUGUAAACCGCUGUCCGGGGACGGAACCAAUGAUUGUCUCCAAAGGAAGGGGCGACUAACUCUGUGCCAGCAGUCGCGGUAAGACAGAGGCCCCGAGCGUUAAUCGGAAUUACUGGGCUUAAAGGGUGCGUAGGCUGAUCCGAAAGUGCCCUGUGAAAUCCCCCGGCUCAACCGGGGAACAGCGGGGCAUACUGCGGAUCUUGAGGCAGGUAGGCGCCGAGGGAACAGUAGGUGGAGCGGUGAAAUGCGUAGAUAUCUACUGGAACGCCGAUGGUGAAGACGCUCGGCUGGGCCUGUCCUGACGCUGAGGCACGAAAGCGUGGGGAGCAAACAGG